CUCUGGGCCAGCUGGGGAACGUCCCGCUCCUUGGCUAAGUUCAGGAUUACGCCCAGACCGAUCCGAGCGAGCCGGUCCCUGCGGGAAGGAGAGGCAGGACACAGCUGCCAGAUAUGCAACACAGCAAGAUGCAGUGGGCUGGUGUUGAGGGAAGAACUUGUGAUGGGGUGCACAGCCCAGGAACCCCUCGCUGGAUGCUCUCGUGCUCCAGGUAGGAUCUUCAUCGCAAUUAACAGGCAGGGAUCUGCUCCAGGAGUUUUCCUGCCUGGCACUUGGUCUCCAUCUCGGCGGUGUAGAGCAGGUUGAGCAGCAGGUCCAGGCCCCCCUCG